rnacentral:rRNA from 1 species
UACGGAGGGUGCAAGCGUUGUCCGGAUUUAUUGGGUUUAAAGGGUGCGUAGGCGGUCUGGUAAGUCGGCGAUGAAAGCCCGGGGCUCAACCCCGGAACUGUCGUCGAUACUGUCGGACUUGAAUAUGGUGGAGGCUGGCGGAAUGGGCGGUGUAGCGGUGAAAUGCAUAGAUAUCAGGAGGAACACCGGUGGCGAAGGCGGGUCUCUGGGCCGAUACUGACGCUGAGGAGCGAAAGCGUGGGGAGCGAACAGG